GUUUACAUCUAAAAUGUUCCCCCAAAGCCUCAUGAUUGAUCUUGGAGGCCAUAGCUGACUGGCUAUCAGGAGGUGGGUCACUCAGGUGCGACCUGAAAGGGUGGGUUCUUGUCCCUGGCACUUCCUGUGCUCUCUCUGCUUCCUGGCUGCCAGGGGUUGAGUACAAUUUCCUCACCGUGCUCAUCUGCCAUUCUGUUUCUGCCUUUGAGCCAGACAAUUGUGGGCUGAAACCUUCAGCCAGAACAAACUUCUCUUUUAAGUUGUGGGUGUUGAGUAUUUUGCCCCAGGAAUGAGAAAAUGGAUUAAGAGAUGACCCAUGUCAUAUACACAGAAGAGAUGGUGGAGAUACUGAUGAAGCUGGAGAAUCUGAAGGAAAUGCUAAUAUCCCUGACAGAUAGAUAUCCUACAACUGCUUUGUGGCUUGCUUCAGUUACAGCAUGAGCCUUGCAUUCCAGAGUGAGCUUUCUUUUCAUUAAUACAAUGAAAGUAAGGAGGUUUGUCAGAUCCGACCUGUCCUCUCAGGUGAGAUUUGCUUACAUUUUCUAGAACACCAGG
rnacentral:lncRNA from 1 species